UCCUACGGGGGGCAGCAGUGAGGAAUAUUGGUCAAUGGCCGCAGGGCUGAACCAGCCAAGUCGCGUGAGGGAUGACGGUCCUAUGGAUUGUAAACCUCUUUUGUCAGGGAGCAAAGGGCGCCACGUGUGGCGUUUUGCGAGUACCUGAAGAAAAAGCAUCGGCUAACUCCGUGCCAGCAGCCGCGGUAAUACGGAGGAUGCGAGCGUUAUCCGGAUUUAUUGGGUUUAAAGGGUGCGCAGGCGGAAUGUCAAGUCAGCGGUAAAAUUUCGGGGCUCAACCCCUUCCCGCCAUUGAAACUGGCGUU
rnacentral:rRNA from 1 species